CAGUCGCCACGGUAAAACAGAGGGUGCGAGCGUUAAUCGGAUUUACUGGGCGUAAAGCGUGCGUAGGCGGCUUCUUAAGUCGGAUGUGAAAUCCCUGAGCUUAACUUAGGAAUUGCAUUCGAUACUGGGAAGCUAGAGUAUGGGAGAGGAUGGUAGAAUUCCAGGUGUAGCGGUGAAAUGCGUAGAGAUCUGGAGGAAUACCGAUGGCGAAGGCAGCCAUCUGGCCUAAUACUGACGCUGAGGUACGAAAGCAUGGGGAGCAAACAGGAUUAGAUACCCCCGUAGUCCCUGUCUCUUAUAA
rnacentral:rRNA from 1 species